rnacentral:rRNA from 1 species
UGGGCGAGAGNCUGAUCCAGCCAUGCCGCGUGCAGGAAGACUGCCCUAUGGGUUGUAAACUGCUUUUAUACAGGAAGAAACCACAGAACGUGUUCUGUGCUGACGGUACUGUAAGAAUAAGGAUCGGCUAACUCCGUGCCAGCAGCCGCGGUAAU